UCUUGUAGUGUAGCGUACUAUGUUCAAGGGAUGAUGACGAAGCAAAAAAGCGUUGUCUUUGUCACUGCUUUUAACCCUCUUUCUGUCAUAAUCGGAUCCAUCAUUGGCUUACUUAUCCUCGGCCAAAGAUUAUACCUUGGCGGGGUUCUUGGAAUGGCGAUAAUAAUGGUGGGAGUCUGUGCGGUUCUGUGGGGAAAGGAAGGGGAUGAAGAAGAGAAUAGUGAAGAGAAGUUUGUAGUAGUUGUCAAAUGUUGUAAAGGCUUCAGAAACAAUAGUCUCUCGAUGCCAAUAAUUAAUGAGGAGGUAGAUGUUGAAAUGUAAUCUACUGGGAAAGCUAAGAUGGUGGUGGGUUUGUCGGUCUUGUAGGUAGAAAAAUGUUCACGAGCUUUAAUUAGAUAUUUUAAGUCUUCUUUUCUUUUGUUCGAUAGAGGAGCAACUUUUUCUUUGUACUAUAUAUCAUGCUCGAACCUUUUGCUUUUAGGCUUUAUAAUCUUCUUGUUUAGCAGGGAAAUAAUGAUUAUAUGUAUGUUUCAAAUCUUUCGACCAAU